CACCUGACCGUUUGAUCUCUUUUUUUUUCAACAUCUUGAAUAUAGGUUCGCACGUGGCUGUUAGAUGAGAUGUGAACCAUGACAGGUAGUUCAAUCUUUCUAAGAAACCACGAACCUCUCUUUUUCUUUCUCGGUUCAGGCGUUUCUCUUAUUGUUCCUUUUUUUUUUUUUUGUUUUUUUUUUUGUUUUUUUGUUUUUUUAGCAGGAUCAACCUCGAUUCCUCUCUUACAAUGAACCCCAACAAUUUACCGGACCUCACUCUGAUAGCGCACUUACUUGAAUUCAACCUCAGUUUGAAUU
rnacentral:lncRNA from 1 species